rnacentral:rRNA from 1 species
AUUGAACGCUGGCGGCAGGCCUAACACAUGCAAGUCGAACGAGGGGCGGACGGGUGAGUAAUGUCUGGGAAACUGCCUGAUGGCGGGGGAUAACUACUGGAAACGGUAGCUAAUACCGCCUACCAUCUGAUAUGCCAAGAGGGGAUUAGCUAGUAGGUGGGGUAAAGGCUCACCUAGGCGACGCUCCCUAGCUGGUAUGAGAGGAUGACCAGCCACACUGGAACUGAGACACGGUCCAGACUCCUACGGGAGGCAGCAGUGGGGAAUAUUGCACAAUGGGCGCAAGCCUGAUGCAGCCAUGCCGCGUGUAUGAAGAAGGCCUUCGGGUUGUAAAGUACUUUCAGCGGGGAGGCGUUACCCGCAGAAGAAGCACCGGCUAACUCCGUGCCAGCAGCCGCGGUAAUAC